rnacentral:lncRNA from 1 species
AAGGGGGAGGGGAGAGGGGAGGGAGGAGGGGGUAGAAGGAGGGAGGGUAGGGGGAGAGUUGGGAUUCUCUCACUCACUCUCUCGUUCUCUUUUCUUAAAGGGGCCGCGCGGGACGACGGGGUGAGCGCGCGGGCCCAGACGGGGACUUCGAGGGCGCGGGCAGGGGAAGAGGGAGCGGCAGCGGCAAGCGGGUGGGGAAGGCGGAGGGGCCGGUUUAUUUUUAAAUUCUGCCUCCACUCGCUCUCUCGCGCUCUGGUUCCUCCGAGUUGUUUAUUCCAUUUUCCUCUUCCUGAGACGGCCGUCGCCGCUGCGCGUGCGCGCUGAGACGCGAGGGCUUAUGGGUAGCGGGAGCGCUAGGGGAAGCCUGGCCGGCGUCGGGCCCCCGGGGGCAUCCGCGAGCUAUCGGCGGUUGGACCGGCGGCUCUCGGUGGGGUUCCGGACGCGGAUCUGGCGCCGAAUUCUCACGAGACCUGAUACCUUCCUUAUUUGUAUAUUCUCUUACUUAAAAAGCCAGAUGUCUUUUUUUUUUUUUUCAUUGAAAAGAGAAAAUUGACAAGGUAAACGGUCGUUUGGAGGGGCCACCUGGGGACGCGGCCCGAGCCCUGGCUCUACCUGAAGAAUAUCUUCUAUUUGCCACACUUCCUCUCCCCGUUUCCUUUCUUCGCCCCUCUCCUCUUUCCCCUUCCCCUCGAAGGUAAUGAGAACUACUGGACCGAUUACGCUAACCUCUUGGCCCUUUGUCAAAAAAUGGAGCCAAAAAGGUUGAUUUAGACAGACCCCCUGCUCAGUGCAGCACCUGUUAUUCUCUGUAUUUAUAUUACCAAGGGCCUUCGGUAAAUUAUGAAAAAUAGGAUGCCACCUGGGACAACACUGCUUAGACAGCACUGGAAGACCUUUAUAAAUAUACUAGGUUGCUUUUCUCCAAUCAGCCUAGCCUUGAUUUGAAAUUCAUUUUUAUUUUUUUUGAGACGGUGAAAUUCAUUUUUAAAAGAUAGUUUUAACCUCAGCGAUCUCUGAUGUUUGCGCUAAUACCCUUUUAAAGGCUUUCAGAAAUUUUAAAGAAUUGCUAUGAAAGGAAAAGUAACAUUCUAGUUUUUCUCUGUAAAAGAGGUUCACAAACGGCAGAUCGCUGUUAUGAAAAGGAGGGGUGGAAGUAUUUAAGGAAUUGUGGCAAACAAAGUCACAGAAGAAUGGAUAUAAGCAAAAGUAGCACACUGAAAAAAAUGGGGAAAAGUGGAGUCUAGAUCACAAACUGGUAAGCUUGGUGAUGUUCUCUAGCCAAAUUCGAAGGUAAUAACAUUGUAUUAUGGCUUUCUGUUUAAAAGCAGUUUCGCUUAUUUGAUUAUUCAACAAAUCUUUAUUAACACGCAUUACGUGUACCAGAAACUGUGGUACACUUAACUGUGGAGCUGGGGAAGCAAAAGUGAACAUGCCGCCUUAAGUGAGUUCAGAUGGCUUAUCUUCCGGUUGGGGAGGCAUCAAGUACACAGGUCCGUUGUAAACCAGUGUCUUAAGUGCUAACCUUAUCACAUUUGCUAUUAGAGGAUAUUAAACAUGUCAGACUUCUUGGAGAAAGUUGAUAUUUUCAUGUUCCAAGUUUGGGAACAUCAUUGAAUUCAGACAGAUCUGGAUUGAAACAGAUUAAAGUGCCUACACUUUAAUAGCUGUGUUCCUCUCAGUUAAUUGCUUCAUUUCUCUGUGCCUUGUCUGUACACCUGGAUUAAGAAUAGUACCUACUUCAUAAAGUAUAACUAAUAAUGUAUAUAAACUGUCCCAUGCCUAAUAAGAAUUCGGUAGGUUGUAACUAUUAUUAAUAGUAUUGGCCAGGCGCAGUGGCUCACGCCUGUAAUCCCAGCACUUUGGGAGGCCAAGGCGGGUGGAUCACCUGAGAUCAGGAGUUCGAGACCAGUCUGGCCAACCUGGUAAAACACCGUCUCUACAAAAAUACAAAAAAAUUACUGGGCGUGGUGGCGAGCGCCUGUGAUCCCAGCUACUGGGGAGGCUGAGACAUAAGAAUCACUUGAACCUGGGAAGCAGAGGUUGCAGUGAGCCGAGAUCUCGUCAUUGCACGCCAGCCUGGGCGACAGAGCGAGACUCCAUCUCGAAAAAAAAGUAGUAUUGCUGCUAGUGGUAGUCAGUGUAUAGUCAAAGAGCAUUCUAGGCAAACAGCUUUUAUUGUUAGAAUACAGUGAUAGUGGAAAAUGGAGCAGAGUCCACAAAA